AGUGAACGCUGGCGGUAGGCCUAACACAUGCAAGUCGAACGGCAGCACAGUAAGAGCUUGCUCUUACGGGUGGCGAGUGGCGGACGGGUGAGGAAUACAUCGGAAUCUACUUUUUCGUGGGGGAUAACGUAGGGAAACUUACGCUAAUACCGCAUACGUCCUACGGGUGAAAGCAGGGGAUCUUCGGACCUUGCGCGAUUGAAUGAGCCGAUGUCGGAUUAGCUAGUUGGCGGGGUAAAGGCCCACCAAGGCGACGAUCCGUAGCUGGUCUGAGAGGAUGAUCAGCCACACUGGAACUGAGACACGGUCCAGACUCCUACGGGAGGCAGCAGUGGGGAAUAUUGGAUAAUGGGCGCAAGCCUGAUCCAGCCAUACCGCGUGGGUGAAGAAGGCCUUCGGGUUGUAAAGCCCUUUUGUUGGGAAAGAAAAGCAGCAGGUUAAUACCCCGCUGUUCUGACGGUACCCAAAGAAUAAGCACCGGCUAACUUCGUG
rnacentral:rRNA from 1 species